rnacentral:rRNA from 1 species
UUGGUUAAGUUAGAAAGGGCGCACGGUGGAUGCCUUGGCACUAGGAGCCGAAGAAGGACGGGACUAACACCGAUAUGCUUUGGGGAGCUGUACGUAAGCGUUGAUCCAGAGAUUUCCGAAUGGGGGAACCCACUAUCUUUAGUCGGAUAGUAUCCUUACGUGAAUACAUAGCGUGAGGAAGGCAGACCCAGGGAACUGAAACAUCUAAGUACCUGGAGGAAGAGAAAGAAAAAUCGAUUUCCUGAGUAGCGGCGAGCGAAACGGAAAGAGCCCAAACCAAGAAGCUUGCUUCUUGGGGUUGUAGGACACUCUAUACGGAGUUACAAAAGAAAGUUAUAAAUGAAGCGGUCUGGAAAGGCCCGCCAAAGACGGUAACAGCCCGGUAGUUGAAAUGGCUUUCCCUCCAGAGUGGAUCCUGAGUACGGCGGAACACGUGAAAUUCCGUCGGAAUCCGGGAGGACCAUCUCCCAAGGCUAAAUACUCCCUAGUGACCGAUAGUGAACCAGUACCGUGAGGGAAAGGUGAAAAGCACCCCGGAAGGGGAGUGAAACAGUUCCUGAAACCGUGUGCCUACAAGUAGUUAGAGCCCGUUAAUGGGUGAUAGCGUGCCUUUUGUAGAAUGAACCGGCGAGUUACGAUUUGUUGCAAGGUUAAGCGGAAAAAGCGGAGCCGUAGCGAAAGCGAGUCUGAAUAGGGCGCAUAAGUAACAGGUCGUAGACCCGAAACCAGGUGAUCUACCCAUGUCCAGGAUGAAGGUAAGGUAAUACUUACUGGAGGUCCGAACCCACGCACGUUGAAAAGUGCGGGGAUGAGGUGUGGGUAGCGGAGAAAUUCCAAUCGAACUUGGAGAUAGCUGGUUCUCUCCGAAAUAGCUUUAGGGCUAGCCUCGAGGUAAAGAGUCAUGGAGGUAGAGCACUGUUUGGACUAGGGGCCCUUCUCGGGUUACCGAAUUCAGAUAAACUCCGAAUGCCAUGUACUUAUACUCGGGAGUCAGACUGCGAGUGAUAAGAUCCGUAGUCGAAAGGGAAACAGCCCAGACCACCAGUUAAGGUCCCCAAAUAUAUGUUAAGUGGAAAAGGAUGUGGGGUUGCUUAGACAACCAGGAUGUUGGCUUAGAAGCAGCCACCAUUGAAAGAGUGCGUAAUAGCUCACUGGUCGAGUGACCCCGCGCCGAAAAUGUACCGGGGCUAAACAUAUUACCGAAACUGUGGAUGAACCUCUUUAGAGGUUCGUGGUAGGAGAGCGUUCUAAGGGCGGUGAAGUCAGACCGGAAGGACUGGUGGAGCGCUUAGAAGUGAGAAUGCCGGUAUGAGUAGCGAAAGAAGGGUGAGAAUCCCUUCCACCGAAUAUCUAAGGUUUCCUGAGGAAGGCUCGUCCGCUCAGGGUUAGUCGGGACCUAAGCCGAGGCCGAUAGGCGUAGGCGAUGGACAACAGGUAGAGAUUCCUGUACCAGUGCUAAUUGUUUAACCGAUGGGGUGACACAGAAGGAUAGGGAAUCGCACGAAUGGAAAUGUGCGUCCAAGCAGUGAGUGUGAGAAGUAGGCAAAUCCGCUUCUCGCGAAGCAUGAGCUGUGAUGGGGAAGGAAAUUAAGUACGGAAGUUCCUGAUUUCACGCUGUCAAGAAAAGCCUCUAGGAAGAGUAGUACUGCCCGUACCGCAAACCGACACAGGUAGAUGAGGAGAGAAUCCUAAGGUGAGCGAGAGAACUCUCGUUAAGGAACUCGGCAAAAUGACCCCGUAACUUCGGGAGAAGGGGUGCUCUAUUAGGGUGCAAGCCCGAGAGAGCCGCAGUGAAUAGGCCCAGGCGACUGUUUAGCAAAAACACAGGUCUCUGCAAAACCGUAAGGUGACGUAUAGGGGCUGACGCCUGCCCGGUGCUGGAAGGUUAAGAGGAGUGCUUAGCUUCGGCGAAGGUACGAAUUGAAGCCCCAGUAAACGGCGGCCGUAACUAUAACGGUCCUAAGGUAGCGAAAUUCCUUGUCGGGUAAGUUCCGACCCGCACGAAAGGCGCAACGAUCUGGGCACUGUCUCAACGAGAGACUCGGUGAAAUUAUAGUACCUGUGAAGAUGCAGGUUACCCGCGACAGGACGGAAAGACCCCGUGGAGCUUUACUGCAACCUGAUAUGGAAUGUUUGUACCGCUUGUACAGG